rnacentral:rRNA from 1 species
CCUACGGGUGGCAGCAGUGAGGAAUAUUGGUCAAUGGCCGAGAGUCUGAACCAGCCAAGUAGCGUGAAGGAUGACUGCCCUAUGGGUUGUAAACUUCUUUUAUAUGGGAAUAAAAUGUUCCACGUGUGGGAUUUUGUAUGUACCAUAUGAAUAAGGAUCGGCUAACUCCGUGCCAGCAGCCGCGGUAAUACGGAGGAUCCGAGCGUUGUCCGGAUUUAUUGGGUUUAAAGGGAGCGUAGGUGGAUUGUUAAGUCAGUUGUGAAAGUUUGCGGCUCAACCGGAAAAUUGCAGUUGAAACUGGCAGUCUUGAGUACAGUAGAGGUGGGCGGAAUUCGUGGUGUAGCGGUGAAAUGCUUAGAUAUCACGAAGAACUCCGAUUGCGAAGGCAGUUCACUGGACUGCAACUGACACUGAGGCUCGAAAGUGUGGGUAUCAAACAGGAUUAGAUACCCCGGUAGUC